rnacentral:rRNA from 1 species
AUUGAACGCUGGCGGAAUGCUUUACACAUGCAAGUCGAACGGUAGAGGGGGCAACCCCUCGAGAGUGGCGAACGGGUGAGUAAUAUAUCGGAACGUGCCCAGUCGUGGGGGAUAACGUAGCGAAAGUUACGCUAAUACCGCAUACGAGCUAAGGAUGAUAGCGGGGGACCGCAAGGCCUCGCGCGAUUGGAGCGGCCGAGAUCAGAUUAGGUAGUUGGUGAGGUAAAGGCUCACCAAGCCAACGAUCUGUAGCUGGUCUGAGAGGACGACCAGCCACACUGGAACUGAGACACGGUCCAGACUCCUACGGGAGGCAGCAGUGGGGAAUUUUGGACAAUGGACGCAAGUCUGAUCCAGCCAUUCCGCGUGCAGGAUGAAGGCCCUCGGGUUGUAAACUGCUUUUGUACGGAACGAAAAGGUCUCUCCUAAUACGAGGGGCUCAUGACGGUACCGUAAGAAUAAGCACCGGCUAACUACGUGCCAGCCGCCGCCGUAA